rnacentral:lncRNA from 1 species
CCCCUCCUACUCGUCCUCCGCCUCCUUCCUCCCCCACCCAGCCUUACACCGCCCAGCGCCCCGCCACCCGCGUAACAGGCGUCUGGGAAUCGCCGGCCGAGCCCCGCUCCCGCCCACUUAGGCUACGGUGCCGAAGCCCGAGCGGAGCCAAUCACGGACGUCGAUUGUUUGUGGCUCCUCCCGGAAAAAGCCGAUCGACCUGAGAAACCAAUUAGGAAGUGUCGCUGGAAAUCCACGCCCAAAAAGCGGAAAAUGCCGAAAAUAGCCGAACGAAAAGGUGGGUUCUCCUCGUUCAGUGGCUGGCUAGAACAGAAAUUCGACAAUGGCACCAGUGGCCAAUCAAAAUCGCCGGCCCUCAGGAAAAAGCUUGAAGAGUUAAGGACGGUGAAACCCGGAGUCACUGGUGAAACAGCACGGUCGGGCGCCGCGGCCGCUUUGUAAUUGGCCGAAAACUCCGCUGGGAGUGUACCUCCCUCGGUGAUUGGCGAAGCGAGGGGGGCUUCCGAGGACAGUCUGGCCAGUCAGAAUGUCUCCUCCCUCUCCAGGGUGGAGAGAAGAAGAAAGAAAAGGGAGGGCAUUUAUAAAGCGCCUUCUCAUUGGCCUGAACCCUUGUAGCUGGAGUGGGGGCAAAAGGGAAAAGGAGGGAGGCCGAAACCCGUAGCGGCAGCCAAUCGGCACUCACUGCCGUCCAAUCGCAAGACCUAGAUGCAGUGUGAUUGGCCUUCCGCCUCCGGCGGCGGUCCCAGGAGCGGAGGGAAGCUCGACUAGGGUCGUGGCGGACCUUGUGACGGGCUUGCCUGCGGCUGCUCUCAGCCGUUGUGGAAACCGCAGAUCAGGAGCGCGGGCACUGCGCAGCCGGUCCGAAACUGCUGCGGUCAGCGGCACUGGGCUCGGAGCGCUCAAGCGAACAGGGAAUUUAGGGGCUCUCCCCACCCACGAAGAGGUUCUCUCCCCGGCGCGGCUAAAUCUGCGCGCCCGAGCCUCCCCUCCGCCCGGGAUAGCGCGUGCCGAGAAUCAGCGUCUUCCCCGAAAGGGCCAGACGGAACUAGGACGCCUACCCGGCCGGAAAAUACUCGGGUUUUGAGGGGAUGAAAUGAGACAGCACCUGUGAAAACGGUUUGGAUAUUUUGAAGGCCUGCACUCAUGUAGGAGCAUGGGUGAAGAUGAUUACUGGGAGACAGCAAGAAGGUAAGCCCUGCAUUUUUCCCCAGGUUGACUAUUUUUUAUUUAAUUAUCUCUUUUCAUUAAGACUAGAGUGGACUCUUUUCCCUCCUGGGAGGCAAAAAUAAUGAGAUAUUUGUCUUGAC